rnacentral:rRNA from 1 species
AUUGAACGCUGUCGGCAGGCCUAACACAUGCAAGUCGAGCGCGCGGCGGACGUGUGAGUAAUAUCUGGGGACUGCCCGAUAGAGGUGGAUAACUACUGGAACCGGUGGCUAAUACCGCAUACUAUCGGAUAACCCAUAUGGGAUUAGCUAGUAGUUGGGGUAAAGGCUCACCUGGGCGACGAUCUCUAGCUGGUCUGAGAGGAUGAUCAGCAACACGGGGACUGAGACACGGCCCAGACUCCUACGGAGGCAGCAGUGGGGAAUAUUGCACAAUGGGCGCAAGCCGGAUGCAGACAGGUCGCGUGUAUGAAGAAGGCCUUAGGGGUGUAAAGUACUUGCAGCGGGGAGGCGUUACCCGCAGAAGAAGCACCGGCUAACUCCGUGACAGCAGCCGCGGUAAUAC